GCAGUGGGGAAUAUUGGACAAUGGGCGCAAGCCUGAUCCAGCCAUGCCGCGUGAGUGAUGAAGGCCUUAGGGUUGUAAAGCUCUUUUAUCCGGGACGAUAAUGACGGUACCGGAGGAAUAAGCCCCGGCUAACUUCGUGCCAGCAGCCGCGGUAAUACGAAGGGGGCUAGCGUUGCUCGGAAUCACUGGGCGUAAAGGGCGCGUAGGCGGCGUUUUAAGUCGGGGGUGAAAGCCUGUGGCUCAACCACAGAAUGGCCUUCGAUACUGGGACGCUUGAGUAUGGUAGAGGUUGGUGGAACUGCGAGUGUAGAGGUGAAAUUCGUAGAUAUUCGCAAGAACACCGGUGGCGAAGGCGGCCAACUGGACCAUUACUGACGCUGAGGCGCGAAAGCGUGGGGAGCAAACAGGAUUAGA
rnacentral:rRNA from 1 species